CACUUAUUUGUUGUCAAAAUUGGUUGCAUCAUAAUCCAAUUCCAACUGAUAAUACAACCUUGAUAAAUGAUUUUGAAACCUACGAAAACCUUGAAUUAGAAUUUUGUGGAAAGUUGCAUUUAGCAACGGAUGAUAAUUAGUUCACAAAUUGUGAUGCAUUUAUUGAAAAUAUAUGGAAUCAAAAUGCAAAGCUCUUGAAGUGCUUUUUUAUUGAGACGAUGUGCACAUGAAGAUUUAUUUUUUGAGGCUUAGAGUGUUUUAUGAUAAUGUUAUUUGUUGUUUUUUCAUUAAGCCCUUUAAAGGCAAUGGUUUGUAAUUUGAAUUUUAA